ACGGCCAUACCACAUUGAAAACAUCUGUUCUCGUCCGAUCACCGAAGUUAACCAAUGUCAGGCCCGGGCAUUACUUGGGAGGGUGACUACCUGGGAACACCUAGUGCUGUAGGCU
rnacentral:rRNA from 1 species